rnacentral:rRNA from 1 species
GAUGAACGCUGGCGGCGUGCUUAACACAUGCAAGUCGAACGAAGCGUAUUCAAGUGAAGUUUUCGGACAAAGCGAGGAUAUGACUUAGUGGCGGACGGGUGAGUAACGCGUGGGCAACCUGCCUUUCACAGCGGGAUAACAGAGGGAAGCUUCUGCUAAUACCGCAUAUACCUUUAUAACGCAUGUUAGGGAGGGGAAAGAAUUAUCGGUGAGAGAUGGGCCCGCGUCCGAUUAGAUAGUUGGUGGGGUAACAGCCCACCAAGUCGACGAUCGGUAGCCGGCUUGAGAGAGUGAACGGCCACAUUGGGACUGAGACACGGCCCAAACUCCUACGGGAGGCAGCAGUGGGGGAUAUUGGACAAUGGGGGCAACCCUGAUCCAGCGACGCCGCGUGAGUGAAGAAGUAUUUCGGUACGUAAAGCUCUAUCAGCAGGGAAGAAAGAAGACGGUACCUGACUAAGAAGCCCCGGCUAACUACGUGCCAGCAGCCGCGGUAAUACGUAGGGGGCAAGCGUGAUCCGGAAUUACUGGGUGUAAAGGGAGCGUAGACGGUUAAACAAGUCUGAAGUGAAAUGCCGGGGCUCAACCCCGGAGCUGCUUUGGAAACUGUAGAACUGGAGUGUCGGAGGGGUAAGCGGAAUACCCAGUGUAGCGGUGAAAUGCGUAGAUAUUGGGAGGAACACCGGCGGCGAAUGCGGCUUACUGGACGACAACUGACGUUGAGGCUCGAAGGCGUGGGUAGCAAACAGGAUUAGAUACCCUGGUAGUCCACGCAGUAGACGAUGAAUACUAGGUGUCGGGUGGCAAAGCCACUCGGUGCCGGCGCAAACGCAAUAAGUAUUCCACCAGGGGAGUACGUUCGCAAGAAUGACACUCAAUGGAAUAGACGGGGACCCGCACAAGCGGUGGAGCAUGUGGUUUAAUUCGAAGCAACG